rfam:Oryctes borbonicus contig19625, whole genome shotgun sequence.
UUUAUGGCUUUUUUUAAAGCCAUACAAUUGGAAAAUAUUGAUAAAC